rnacentral:lncRNA from 1 species
CGCUGCCUGCCUGUCUCUCUGCCCCACCAGCUGAGGGAGCCAUUGCUCUGCCUGCCUGGUGUCUCAGCCCAGCUGCAUGGCUGCCUCUGAAGGGUGGCAGGGGGAGGGCAAGGACAGGGCCUUAUAGAGGCCUGGAGUGGCACUGCAGCCAUGGCUGUGGGCGGGAAGACAGAGCGGGGACUGCUGAGGAAAGAAGGAGCAAAGGAAAGGGCCAGUUCCCCUCAGAAGUGCCUCACAGUCAAGCUGAGGAAAACAAUCUCAGUUGGAAGAAAGUUGGGGGGUGGGUAGUUGCUCAAUCUGGAAUAACUACUGCCUCAAAUUCCAAAUGCCAGCUUUUCCACCUCACGAUGCCAGGUAUCACAAUAUAGUGAUACAUUGUGGUGUUGGAAAGAGGAGGGAGGAAUAAGCUCCAUCAGACCAGGCCCUGCAAGGCGUUGGGGUGAAACCACCUCAGCUCCAUUAGCGGGAGUGGCGGCAGUUUCACCUCAGCACCUGUGGGCCUGGGCCCAAUGGAGCUUAUUUGUCCCUCAGUGUGCCAGGCACUUGGCAGCAGAGGGGGUUCUUUUGUCGCCAGAGCCCAGCGCACCGAGGGACAAACGAGCUCAAACGAGCUCCAUCGGCCUUGGCACCUCACGAAUCAUUCCUCCCUUGGUCUGAGGGCCAGGGUGUGAUGGCACCUACCCGGAAGUAUAUUGCAGGUGAAACUGCCGCUGCUGUGUCCUGACUCAGGAGUGGCGGUUUCACCCGCAAUAUACCACCAAGUGAAGGCACCAUUGCACUCUGGCCCUCAAACCAACCCUGGGCGAUGUACAGUCAUACCUCGGGAUAAAUGUGCUUCAAGUUAAGUAUUUUCGGGUUGUGCUCCGCGGCGACCUGGAAGUAACGGAGCACUUUACUUCCGGGUUUCAUCACACGUGCAUGUGCAGAUGGUCAAAAUGACUUCACACGCAUGCGCGGAAGCGGCAAAAUGCGACCCACGCACACGCAGACACACAGAUGCGGGUUGUGUUCGCUUCAGGAUGCGAACGGGGCUCCAGAACAGAUCCCGUUCGCAUCCCGAGGUACCAUUGUAUUGAUACAUCACUUAGGCCCAACCCAUACUACGCAAAUGGGUGGUGCCCCUUCCCUCACCUGGCUGGUAGUGAGAAGGACAAUAACCAGGGCAAAGCUGAGGUAUGCAUGUGAGCUGGGCCAGAAGCAGGCAGAAGCUGGAAAUGGGAGAGCCAUACUUGAUUUCUGCUUGUCUCUAAGGCUGUGAAUAUUGGAGAAGCAAGACCUUCUGGGGUGUUAAUGCUGUGGACCCCUCCAUUGUGGGCUCAGGUUGUACAUAGGUGCAAAUAAACCAUAUAUCCCAAAGGCACCACAGUGCACUGCCACUUGUUCCAAGGAAACCAAACUCUGGGUAAACGCCUAGAACCCAUGGAAUCUCGCACCAGUCAGAGAUUGGGGGUGGCACACAACAUUAUUUUCAUAUCUGUUUUGUUUUGAACAGAUUUCUCUCUUUUCUCAGGGUUCAUCUAACAAUGCAGCAAGUUUCAACCUUCCCAACCGGAAACCCUCAAGGAGGAUGUGAGCCCUACAGCAAUACUCUCCCCACUUGUAAUUCCUGGCAACCAUCAUUCAGGGGUAUCUUGCCCCCACAGUGGAAGAAGAACCUAGACAUUGUGACUAGUAGCCAUUGGGGCGCUGGCAGAGGAAGAGGGGGGCAGGGGGAGUGCACCGCCCCCGGCAGUGUGAUCCCAGUGGGGUGCCAUCAUGGCUACCUGCCCACCCACGCUGGGCACCACGCCCCCGCAAGCGGCAUGUCACGCCCCCAGGACGCACGCCAUGCCCCCAAGAAGCGUGCCACCCCGCCCCUGCCUGCUCUCCGCCCCCCCAGUGCCAGAGCAUGAAGCUCUGCCACUACACUGAUGGCCUUAUCCUCUGUUAAAGGAUGAUGGCAGCUGGAAAUCUGCCUCAUCUGGAAAGCACCAGGUUGGGGGGAGGUGGUUUGCUAUGGUGUUUAUUUUAUUUAUUUACUGAAUAUUCAUCUCCCCUUUCCCCAGGGAUUGUGACCCUGUCUCAAUCUGUACAGUCUCCCCAGAUUAUUUGGGAUCAUGCAGGCGAUUCUUUCUGAGGAAGGAAGGAAAGUCCAGCCAUUCUAAGACAAGACCCAAUGCCAGUUAUACUGAAAUAUAACCCAAUGAAAUAUUUGCAGUUAAAUAACCUGGGCUGGUUGAUGUUGAUUGAUCUAUAUACCAAGGGUGACCUACAAUUCCAUUUAUGUACAUUUAUUAAACUUAUUAGUCACUUGCCAUCCAAAGGUCUCCAAGCGACAUAAAAGUAAUACACACACAAAAAUACAUAAUACCAUGGGGGGGGGGAGGAGGAUCAUACAUCAAUAUAUUGUCUAACAUAACACUUAUGUAAAGAUGAAAGAACAAAACACACCUGCCCUAUAAACAACAAACAACAAAAAAAUACUUAAAUAAUAGGCAAAGAAUGCUCCCACCCACUAAUUAGCAG